rnacentral:rRNA from 1 species
AACGAACGCUGGCGGCAGGCCUAACACAUGCAAGUCGAGCGAGGUAGCGAUACCUAGCGGCGGACGGGUGAGUAACGCGUGGGAACGUACCCUUUGGUUCGGAAUAGCCCUGGGAAACUGGGAGUAAUACCGGAUACGGUCGAGAGACGAAAGAUUUAUCGCCGAAGGAUCGGCCCGCGUUGGAUUAGGUAGUUGGUAGGGUAACGGCCUACCAAGGCGACGAUCAGUAGGGGAUGUGAGAGCAUGAUCCCCCACACGGGUACUGAGACACGGACCCGACUCCUACGGGAGGCAGCAGUAAGGAAUAUUGGACAAUGGUCGGAAGACUGAUCCAGCCAUGCCGCGUGAAGGAUGAAGGCGCUCAGCGUUGUAAACUUCUUUUGUACGGGAACAAAAUGCGACCUGCGGGUUGUACUGAGGGUACCGUAAGAAUAAGCACCGGCUAACUCCGUG